rnacentral:lncRNA from 1 species
GACUGCGGGGUGUCGCGAUGGGGUGUAGUGAGGUGGGGUUGUGUGUGUAGUAGGGUGUAGUGUAGUGAGGUGGGAUGGGUUGCGUAGUAGGGUGUAGUGUAGUGAGGUGGGGUUGUGUGUGUAGUAGGGUGUAGUGUAGUGAGGUGGGAUGGGUUGCGUAGUAGGGUGUAGUGUAGUGAGGUGGGAUGGCGAGCUGGACUGGUUGGCGUGUGAGUGGGUGGGACGCGGUUGAGGCAUGGUGCCGUGUGUGUGCGCGUGUAUGUAUGUGUUUGUGCAUGUGUGGAUGGUCAGGAAUACUGCGUGGCUAUAUCUGAAAGGUGCAGGCAGGUAGAUGGGGUAGCUACAGAGACUGGGUGCCUGGGGAGGGCUGUGUGGAGGAAGCGGGCUGAGGAGAUGGCACAUGCUUAAUGUGGGAGAUGGAGUGGGGGCGGAGGAGCAGUGUGUAGAUACGGUAUUCGCCUGUAUCAGCACGCAACCCCACACCCCCCAACACACAC